UCCUAAUUAAGCAAAAGAUAAAAGUCGUAUCACGAACUUAUAAAAAAUUAACACACUAAUUUUCUAGUAAGAAAUAAUGUUUAUCUUAUUUCUUUCAUUUAUUAAUUGAUUUUGAAUUUUCCCCUGAUAUUGUUCCGCAUUAACUUUCUUGAAAAAACCUGCACAACAUUUAUGUACAGGGUUGAAAAAUGUAACAAGAUUCGGUGUUUCUCCAUGCAAUUAUUCUUGUAAUUCCAAAGAAGUAUAGAAGUACAUGUAUUUAAGUGAAUUUCACUGUAAGAGAGUGUUUCUGGUAAUGUGAUGUUUCUUUGAGCAGAUGAAAAUGGCAGAUUAUAGCAAAGUAGGACAGAAAAUAGACUCACCUGAAAACACUCAGACUCAGUUUGAG
rnacentral:lncRNA from 1 species